UACGGAAGGCAGCAGUGGGGAAUAUUGCACAAUGGGCGCAAGCCUGAUGCAGCCAUGCCGCGUGUAUGAAGAAGGCCUUCGGGUUGUAAAGUACUUUCAGUCGUGAGGAAGGUGUUAAGGUUAAUAACCUUAGCAAUUGACGUUAGCGACAGAAGAAGCACCGGCUAACUCCGUGCCAGCAGCCGCGGUAAUACGGAGGGUGCGAGCGUUAAUCGGAAUUACUGGGCGUAAAGGGCACGCAGGCGGUUAAUUAAGUUGGAUGUGAAAUCCCCGGGCUUAACCUGGGAAUGGCAUUCAAGACUGGUUAGCUAGAGUCUUGUAGAGGGGGUAGAAUUCCGAUGUGUAGCGGUGAAAUGCGUAGAGAUGUGGAGGAAUACCGGUGGCGAAGGCGGCCCCUGGACAAAGACUGACGCUCAUGUGCGAAAGCGUGGGGAGCAAACAGGAUUAGAUACC
rnacentral:rRNA from 1 species